rnacentral:tRNA from 1 species
AGCAGCGUGGCUCAGUGGAAAGAGCCUGGGUUUCAGAGUCGGAGGUCAUGAGUUCGACUCUCGGCUCUGCCA